AUGGUACAAGAGUGACAAUCUGCUGAAGGGUGCUGCACCCAGGAGACAGAUAAGGCUCCGGCAUGAGAAAAGAAAGAGCUGUCCCACAAUCCAAUUUGGUUUCAUGCCAAUUCAAUCUUAAUUGCAUGCCUGAUGUGAAGCAGUCAGAAUUAAGGUAAUGCUUGCCUUACAGUGGAGUCCAGAUGGGUGUCAUCAGAUGUGUCUACCACCACCCAACAGAGGAGUGCUGACCCUGGCUGCAGAGUAGAGGUUCUAAGAUUUGAUUCCCCACAGCACAUCCAAAAGAACAGCCAGCCUGUAUAGCCUUGGACAUGCGGCACAGCACCAAAGGACAAUCAGAAGAAAGGAACGAACUGGCACUGAAGGCAUUUGAAGAAAACAAACACUGGACCGAUCCAAGUUAUUAAGCCCAUGUUAGAAUAGAAAUAGUGUUAUUAGCGGCAGAACAAUGCAAACCUUAAUGCUACAGAAGCAUCAAAGAAAAAUACCAUACACCCUUUGGAACAGGGAUAUUCAUCUACUGGUUGUUAUAAAAG